rnacentral:rRNA from 1 species
AAUCAACGCUGGCGGCGUGCCUAACACAUGCAAGCCGAACGCGAAAGGGGCUUCGGCCCUGAGUAGAGUGGCGAACGGGUGAGUAACACGUGGGUGACCUACCUUCGAAUGGGGGAUAACGUCCCGAAAGGGACGCUAAUACCGCAUAACAUCCUGCCUUUGAACAGGUGGAGAUCAAAGCUGGGGAUCGCAAGACCCGGCGUUUGAAGAGGGGCCCGCGUCCGAUUAGCUAGUUGGUGAGGUAAUGGCUCACCAAGGCGACGAUCGGUAACCGGCCUGAGAGGGCGGACGGUCACACUGGGACUGAGACACGGCCCAGACUCCUACGGGAGGCAGCAGUGGGGAAUUGUUCACAAUGGGCGCAAGCCUGAUGACGCAACGCCGCGUGGAGGAUGAAGGUCUUCGGAUUGUAAACUCUGUUGCCCGGGACGAAAGCUUCGACCUAAUACGUCGAAGUCUGACGGUACCGGGUGAGGAAGCCCGGCUAACUCUGUGCCAGCAGCCGCAGUAA